AUACGGAGGGGACAAGCGUUGUUCGGAAUCACUGGGCGUAAAGGACGCGUAGGCGGGUUAUUAAGUCGGGUGUGAAAUCCUACAGCUCAACUGUAGAACUGCAUUCGAAACUGAUAACCUAGAGUAUGGAAGGGGCAGGUGGAAUUAGUGGUGUAGGGGUAAAAUCCGUAGAUAUCACUAGGAAUACCGAAAGCGAAGGCGACCUGCUGGGACAUUACUGACGCUGAGGCGUGAAAGCGUGGGGAGCAAACAGGAUUAGAAACCCCGGUAGUCC
rnacentral:rRNA from 1 species